rnacentral:sRNA from 1 species
ACGCCGGGCAGGCUUGCCUGAACCGGCGCCCGGAUAUCUGGCGGGCAAGGGGACAUGAGCAGGGAGGGCGAAAGCCCGGAGUGCGAAUGUCCCCGGAGGAUGGCGGGAGUGCGAAGCACGGAGCCAUCCU